AUGGGUCACUGCAACGGCCUCCUCCUCUGGGGAGGCGUGGCCAAUCCGGCCACGCGGCAGUGGGCUAGUCUACCGCGUCACCCUGAUCGGACCCCGACCAAAGGCUUCAUCAAACGCGACUUCCUCGCGUACGAUCCUAUGCUCUCGCCACACUUUGAGGUGUUAUUCAUGCAGUGUGUUCGCCGCCGGUCCGAGAACGACGCCGCAUUGGACCCCGCGAACCCAAACUCAGAGUGGCCUCCGUCGCCCUAUACCAUGAGCGCAUUCUCGUCAAAGACAUGGCAGUGGGAGGAGAGAUCUUUUACCAGGGAAGGGAUGGCUCCACGGUCGAUCGACCCUAACCUACUACUACUCAUGAAACACGUGUUCUCUCAUGAUUCUGUGUAUUGGCGGGGACGUCUCUAUGUGUUCAACAUAUUUUUUAUUAUCAGAUUGGAUUUAGAGGAUAAUAAGUACCGAGUAAUUGAACUCCCCCCGAUUAAUGAAGCACGCGGAGAUAUUCAUUUGGGAAAAUCGGAGAAGGGCGUUUACUAUGUAUUCGCUGGUGGUUGGUGCAAACUUCAGAUUUGGUUUCUCAAUGAAUCAAUUGAUCACACCGAAUGGAUGUUGAAGCAUGAGAUUGGCCUCAAGCCGUUGCUAGACAAAUUUCCUUGGGAACACAGUCAUGGCUCUUGGUUCGUGCAAGGUUUGAGGGAUAACAAUGAUGAAACACUUGACAGAGAGAAACUGGAAUGGGAUUCAGACAACGAUGAUGCCACUACUGCUCCUGCCACUGAAGUUAGUGUUCAGAAAAAGUUCCAUAAAUGCAUUUCGAGGAUACUUGGAUUUCAUCCUUACAAGGAGAUUAUCUUUUUGCACAUAUCGGACACAAGAGUAGUGGCCUACCAUCUUAAGAACUCCAAGGUUGAGGAUUUGGGGUGUUUACCCGUAGAUGGUGAUGAUUGGAUAAAAUCGUCUUGUGUAUACACGCCUUGCUGGAUAGAGAGCUGCUUGAGAGCAAAUAGCACAGAAGCCAAUAGUGAGCUCUAG
rnacentral:rRNA from 1 species